rnacentral:pre_miRNA from 13 species
CACGGCAGCCCGAGCAGUGAGCUCCCUUCCACUCUAACGUGGAGGCACUUUCUGGCCUUGCGACAACAGUAAGUGCUUCCAUGUUUUAGUAGAAGUGGGUUCAGCUUCCGGGGCCAGCGGAC